GACGAACGCCGGCGGCGUGCUUAACACAUGCAAGUCGAACGGAAAGGCCUGCUUUCCCUUGUGGAUUGCGGGUACUCGAGUGGCGAACGGGUGAGUAACACGUGAGUGAUCUGCCCCCAACUUGGGUAUAAGCCUGGGAAACUGGGUCUAAUUCCCGAUAGGACUGCAGGGUGGUGCCUGUGGUGGAAAACGAUUUUCUAGUGGUUGGGGAUGAGCUCGCGGCCUAUCAGCUUGUUGGUGGGGUAAUGGCCUACCAAGGCGGCGACGGGUAGCCGGCCUGAGAGGGUGGACGGCCACAUUGGGACUGAGAUACGGCCCAGACUCCUACGGGAGGCAGCAGUGGGGAAUAUUGCACAAUGGGCGGAAGCCUGAUGCAGCGACGCCGCGUGGGGGAUGACGGCCUUCGGGUUGUAAACUCCUUGCGACCGCGAGGAAGCCACCUGGUUGGAAGGGUGGUGACGGUAGUGGUAGAAGAAGCACCGGCUAACUACGUG
rnacentral:rRNA from 1 species